AUUGAACGCUGGCGGCAUGCCUUACACAUGCAAGUCGAACGGCAGCACGGGGCAACCUGGUGGCGAGUGGCGAACGGGUGAGUAAUGCAUCGGAACGUACCUUUCAGUGGGGGAUAACGUAGCGAAAGUUACGCUAAUACCGCAUAUUCUGUGAGCAGGAAAGCAGGGGAUCGCAAGACCUUGCGCUGAUUGAGCGGCCGAUGUCAGAUUAGCUAGUUGGUGAGGUAAAGGCUCACCAAGGCGACGAUCUGUAGCGGGUCUGAGAGGAUGAUCUGCCACACUGGAACUGAGGCACGGUCAAGACUCCUACGGGAGGCAGCAGUGGGGAAUUUUGGACAAUGGGGGCAACCCUGAUCCAGCCAUGCCGCGUGAGUGAAGAAGGCCUUCGUGUUGUAAAGCUCUUUCGGCCGGAAAGAAAUCGCACGGGCUAAUACCCUGUGUGGAUGACGGUACCGGAAUAAGAAGCACCGGCUAACUACGUGCCAGCCGCCGCCGUAAAAC
rnacentral:rRNA from 1 species